rnacentral:rRNA from 1 species
GACGAACGCUGGCGGCGUGCUUAACACAUGCAAGUCGAACGGAAAGGCCCUGCUUGCAGGGUACUCGAGUGGCGAACGGGUGAGUAACACGUGGGUGAUCUGCCCUGCACUUCGGGAUAAGCCUGGGAAACUGGGUCUAAUACCGGAUAGGAGCCAUUUUUAGUGUGAUGGUUGGAAAGUUUUUUCGGUGUAGGAUGAGCUCGCGGCCUAUCAGCUUGUUGGUGGGGUAAUGGCCUACCAAGGCGGCGACGGGUAGCCGGCCUGAGAGGGUGGACGGCCACAUUGGGACAGAGAUACGGCCCAGACUCCUACGGGAGGCAGCGGUGGGGAAUAUUGCACAAUGGGCGCAAGCCUGAUGCAGCGACGCCGCGUGGGGGAUGACGGCCUUCGGGUUGUAAACUCCUUUCGCUAGGGACGAAGCUUUUUGUGACAGUACCUAGAUAAGAAGCACCGGCUAACUACGUG